rnacentral:rRNA from 1 species
CUGCGGAGGGAUCAUUACACAACAAAAUAUGAAGGCCUGGCUUUCGCGGCCGGCUGAAGUAUUUUUUUCACCCAUGUCUUUUGCGCACUUGUUGUUUCCUGGGCGGGUUCGCCCGCCACCAGGACCAAACCAUAAACCUUUUUUUCUUAUGCAGUUUCCAUCAGCGUCAGUAAAAACAAUGUAAUUAUUACAACUUUCAACAACGGAUCUCUUGGUUCUGGCAUCGAUGAAGAACGCAGCGAAAUGCGAUACGUAGUGUGAAUUGCAGAAUUCAGUGAAUCAUCGAAUCUUUGAACGCACAUUGCGCCCUUUGGUAUUCCAAAGGGCAUGCCUGUUCGAGCGUCAUUUGUACCUUCAAGCUUUGCUUGGUGUUGGGCGUUUUUUUGUCUCCCUCUUUCUGGGAGACUCGCCUUAAAACGAUUGGCAGCCGGCCUACUGGUUUCGGAGCGCAGCACAUUUUUUGCGCUUUGUAUCAGGAGAAAAGGACGGUACUCCAUCAAGACUCUACAUUUUUCACUUUUGACCUCGGAUCAGGUAGGGAUACCCGCUGAACUUAAGCAUAUCA